rnacentral:tmRNA from 1 species
UCAAAGAGAUUGGCGUAUAUCGGACUAGCCAAACAUGCGCAGGACGCGGGGGCAGCGCCCGCCGCCUCCACCACAACCACUCCGCCUGUCCUUGGCCAAAAGGACCCUCACGGGUGAGGCUGAGUCUGGGAGUUCGAACCGGAGUGGUUUUGAUGGGGGCGAAACAGGAUCGACUGGCAUUGGGAAGUGAAGACGCGCCACGGUAAGGAACGACCGACAACUCAGUCCAAAAACGUAACUGCAAA